rnacentral:rRNA from 1 species
AGAGUUUGAUCCUGGCUCAGAUUGAACGCUGGCGGCAGGCCUAACACAUGCAAGUCGAACGGUAACAUUUCUAGCUUGCUAGAAGAUGACGAGUGGCGGACGGGUGAGUAAUGCUUGGGAACUUGCCUUUGCGAGGGGGAUAACAGUUGGAAACGACUGCUAAUACCGCAUAACGUCUACGGACCAAACGGGGCUUAGGCUCCGGCGCAAAGAGAGGCCCAAGUGAGAUUAGCUAGUUGGUAAGGUAAUGGCUUACCAAGGCAACGAUCUCUAGCUGUUCUGAGAGGAAGAUCAGCCACACUGGAACUGAGACACGGUCCAGACUCCUACGGGAGGCAGCAGUGGGGAAUAUUGCACAAUGGGGGAAACCCUGAUGCAGCCAUGCCGCGUGUGUGAAGAAGGCCUUCGGGUUGUAAAGCACUUUCAGUUGUGAGGAAAAGUUAGUAGUUAAUACCUGCUAGCCGUGACGUUAACAACAGAAGAAGCACCGGCUAACUCCGUGCCAGCAGCCGCGGUAAUACGGAGGGUGCGAGCGUUAAUCGGAAUUACUGGGCGUAAAGCGCACGCAGGCGGUUUGUUAAGCUAGAUGUGAAAGCCCCGGGCUCAACCUGGGAUAGUCAUUUAGAACUGGCAGACUAGAGUCUUGGAGAGGGGAGUGGAAUUCCAGGUGUAGCGGUGAAAUGCGUAGAUAUCUGGAGGAACAUCAGUGGCGAAGGCGACUCCCUGGCCAAAGACUGACGCUCAUGUGCGAAAGUGUGGGUAGCGAACAG